AAAAAAAAAAAAAAAAGGGGAAAAGGGGGAGUUCAUUGAAGGCUAAUCAGAGAUGUUUCAACCAGUCUAGAAUAAAGCUGGAAAUAUGCGGAGAAUUAGUCUCAGUGUAACAACUCAAUUCCCGCUUUAUUUGACUCCAAAAACAGAGGGAAAGAAGUCAUUGCAUGAUAUUCUAGUCCCAGAUGUUUGGGUUAUUUGAGAAAAUAGCGUUUGAAUAUGCCAUGGUUUUUACUAAGAAGCGUUUCACUUCCCUAAACUUGUGUGCAUGUGUAUUUAUAUUCGAUUUAAAAAAAAUAUCCGUCGUCUGAUUUGGGUAAUUAAGGCCAUACCAUUCUCCUAAUUCACGACCAAA
rnacentral:misc_RNA from 1 species